AGGAGAGUUGGGGCCUUCCAUUCCCUCCAGUAAAUACUUGUUUUUCUUCCACCGCUGAGGCAAAUGCGGGGUGGCUGAUCACCUGGCAGACAUCUUAGGAAACAGGAGCACCGGUCUGGGAAACUGCUGGCCUGGCCUAACACCUGGCGCUGUGGUGCAGGCAAGGUAUGCAGCUCUUUCAGAUGAGAAUCUAGUGGAUCCCACCGUGUAGAGGAAAGGUCUGAACACCGCCAGGUGCUGGUGAGGAUGAAAGCGAGCAGGGGCUGGGGGAGCUUCCGACGGCUUUAUUCCUCGACUGGAGAAGAGUAUGGUAAACAGGCAGGCAGAGGCCAAGGCGGGCACAUUUCACUCCUCUGGAAGGAAGAGGCCUCCCCUGGGCCACUGUGCGCUGUCUCUG
rnacentral:lncRNA from 1 species